UACGGAGGGUGCAAGCGUUAUCCGGAAUCACUGGGUUUAAAGGGUGCGUAGGCGGCUUGAUAAGUCAGGGGUGAAAGCCCGCAGCUUAACUGCGGAACUGCCUUUGAUACUGUCGAGCUUGAAAGGGGUUGAGGUCAGCGGAACGUGACAUGUAGCGGUGAAAUGCAUAGAUAUGUCACAGAACACCGAUUGCGAAGGCAGCUGGCUGGACCUACUUUGACGCUGAGGCACGAAAGCGUGGGGAGCGAAC
rnacentral:rRNA from 1 species